UAGAUCCGCCUCUAUAAAUUGUAAGAUCAGACAGCGGAUCCUGAGCAGACCCGUGUCUGAUUCAUGUACGCGGACGCGGAAAACUUAGGCGGCGCACGCCGGUUUAGUUUAUAGGCCCAGCCUACGCGCGCUGAGCCGACCAAUGUCUGCACCCGCAGACGUGAACGCGCCUACUAGCGUGUACGCGCAUGAGCCAAGAUCGAUCAUUUGUGGACUUUCUUUGCUGGAACACGAACGUAAGUAUAGAUUUAUUGAUUUAUUGCUACAUUCACAGUAAAGAUCGGCCUUUAUGUUUCCAUCAUCAUUUAUGUAUGAUUGUAAUGACGUUGUUUGAUAUUAGGACUAGCAGUAAAACUUUAUAUUCUGUAAAAAAAAGGCUAUUUUAUUUAAAAUGGAAUAGCAAUUUCGGCAGAAUAUUUUAUGGUAGUUAAGUAAAGUUUCUUUGCUGUGUAUUUUCCCAGCGCCGCCUCCCAGAAUGCUUUGCAUGGGGACGUGCGUCUGACGUCACGUAUCCAGAAAAUUCAAAAUGGCUGCACGCGGUAGGUGAGGCUGGAGCGAAGAAAAGUGGAUAAAGAGUGUUAUUCGUCAAAAAACCCACACAACGACGGUCAUUUUUUGGCCGUGCUAUUGUAAAAUUGUCUUUCAUCUGUGUUUUGUGUUCCGGGGCACCCCGACUCCAGAAUUUGAAAGUUUCCCGCGUGAAGCCGUGGCGCUCGAGAUCCUGUUUACUGUGGACUAGCUGUGUGUGACGCCCUGUUGUUUUUGUUUCCAUUAAAAAAAAAAAAGGAACAUGGAGUUGGGAUUUGCAAUCUGAGGCAGAGAAUGAGGAGCUGCCAGAAAAAAGGAACAGCAAGCCAGUGUAAGUGUGUUCAGUCUUGUUUUUGUCAUGUUUCUUGUGGUAAUCUGAUUUAUCCUUGAUCAUUUCUGUUGUUGUCUGCACACCAUGUUCACUCUCUCUCUCGUCCACAGUAUUGAGUGCAGCUGGCGCAAGGCAGCAGCACACACCUAAGAUUGAUUAGGGGUAACCUAUUUAACCUGGUUGCUGACGGCCGAUGGGCGCCGGAACUUUGUCUACUGCUUGCUUCAGACACAGUAGUAUUUAGACUCGCCAGCGGACUCACUAGUUCGUCUUGUGCUUCAUCUCAGGUUUGAUUGUAUUUUUCCAAGCCUUGUCUAGCGCUUUUAUUUUGUACUUUGUUUUUUCAGUAAUACUUCUUUCAUGAAGUAUUUCUCCUAGCCUUGUCUAGCGCUUUUGUUUUUUUUUGUAGGUAUUAAUAUUGGUAGUUUUUACAUGGUGUGUUUGUGUGUGUUGCCACCAUCGCCUUUGGUUUUUUCUAGUGUGUGCUACCUCUUGAAUAAAGAGAAAGACUAUAGACAGCACGCUAAUGUCUCUGCAUCCUUGGGAUCCACCACACCAGAUCGUUACAUUUCUACAGUAAUAGGAAGGUUAUUUCCGGUAGCAUUCAAAAAUAGACCAGAGAUGCUUGUACUAUAUGUAUAUUUGGCAAUUUUGGUAUUGCAAUAAUCCUAAUGAUAUGGUUACCCAACAGCCAUCGUCUCGGGGACUCGGAUGAUAGCGAUAGCACUUUGGACACCCCUGGCCUACACGAAUACAAACAUAGAAUGAUAGUACAAAUAUAAUAAGAAAACAACCUCCCAAAGUUGGGUUAUGGAUAUUUAUUUAUGCCCCCCACCCCCAACCCACCGCCGCCGUCAUCCAACAGAGCCAAACAAGUACUCUGAUCAAGGAACCAAAUAACGAUAUUGUUUGAACAUUUUGGAUGUCUUGCACACCUAUACCCUGAUCACAAAUUCAUAGUUUACGCACCUUAUUUUAACCACCUCCAGUAACUUUAAGUCAUGUUUUUUUUUUCAAAUGUAAUCUCCUUAAUAGCUAUCACAUAUUUUGUAUUGUGUAAGCAUACUUGGCUUUGGAUGCUACAUACCAUAAACAUAAACAUAUCUGUCUUGUAAUCUUGUUUGAUUACAGGUGCUGUGAGUAAAAAUGUGUUGACAAGGUCAGCCACGGACGCUGAGGUCACCAAACACGCCAUCAGGUGGUUCAACUUGGCGGGGGAUCGGGCAACGAGGAGACGAGUCCCGCUUCCACCUCCUCAGGAGGAAUAGAGAUGUAUAUGUAUACAUAAACAACCUUUUAUUGGA